rfam:Candidatus Sungbacteria bacterium RIFCSPLOWO2_01_FTLL_59_16 rifcsplowo2_01_scaffold_82532, whole genome shotgun sequence.
GACGGGAAGCAUAAGAGCGUACGGUGGAUGCCUAGACUUGGAUGAGGCGAUGAAGGACGUGGCCAGCUGCGAUAAGCUUCGGGGAGGCGCUGAGCAACCUUUGAUCCGAAGAUGUCCGAAUGGGGAAACCCAGCCACUUUUCAGUGGCUGUGCUUGGGGUAACGCCCGAGUCACGCGUACCUGGGGAAGUGAAACAUCUCAGUACCCAGAGGAAGAGAAAACAAUUCUCGCCGUUAGGCGAGAACCAUUUCCAGAGUAGCGGCGAGCGAAAAGGAAAUAGCCCAAACCGUUUGGCCCCACACUGCGCGUCACGCAGGCUGCGAUCCCUGCUCCGGUCUAACGACUGGGGUAGCGGACACGCGGCCCUGACGAGGUGCGCGGUGUGGGGCCCGGCGGGGUUGUGAGGCGGUGACGCAGCUUAAAAAGCUGGAGGAGUCAAAAAUCGAUUCGUUAACCGAAACACCUGGAAAGGUGUGCCCUAGACGGUGAAAGCCCGGUAGGUGAAAACGAGUCGACUCCUUGGUUGCCGUCCUCGAGUAGCUCAGGACACGAGUAGCCUGAGCGAAUCCGGCAGUACUAACUGCCAAGGCUAAAUACUCUCCAAGAUCGAUAGUGAACCAGUACCGUGAGGGAAAGGUGAAAAGCAGCCCGGGAGGGCAGUGAAAUAGUCUGAAACCGUACGUUUACAAGGAGUAGGAGUCGGCGGCGCCUUCGGGUGCCGCUCGACGACUGCGUGCCUAUUGAAGAAUGAGCCAACGAGUUGAUCUGCACGGCUUCGGCUAAGCCCGCGAGGGCGGAGCCAAAGGGAAACCGAGCGUGAACAGCGCGACUAUGUCGUGCAGAUCAGACCCGAAGCUAGGUGAGCUUGCCAUGGACAGGGUGAAUGUCGCCGAAAGGCGACAGGAGGCCCGAACCCGUUGAUCGUUCGACUUCUUGGGAUGAUCUGUGGCAAGGAGUGAAAAGCUAAUCGAACCUAGUAAUAGCUGGUUCUCUCCGAAACAGCUUUCGGGCUGGCGUCGGAUUUAUCACACGGGGGUAGAGCACUGGAAGGUCUCGACAGGGAGAAAUCUCACGAGACCUAUCAAACUCCGAAUACCGAUGUGUAACUAUCCGGCAGUUAGACCACGGGGGCUAAGCUCCGUCGGUCAAAAGGGAAACAGCCCAGAUCUCAGAUUAAGGCCCCUAAGUCGACGCUAAGUGCAAACUAAGGUGGUGGAAUUUCGUAGACAGCGAGGAUGUUGGCUUAGAAGCAGCCACCAUUCAAAGAAAGCGUAACAGCUCACUCGCUCAGAGAUUCUGCGCCGCAAAUGAUCGGGGCUCAAGCGUCGCGCCGAAGUCGAGGGCUCUCAUUCUCCUCGGAGAGUGGGAGCGGUAGGAGAGCGUUCGCGUCGCGCUGAAGCCGGAGGGGUGACCCCCGGUGGAGCGUCGCGAAGUGAGAAUGUUGGCACAAGUAACCACAAUUCCUGUGAAAGCCAGGAACGUCGAAAGGCCAAGGUUUCCUUCGCAACGGUGAUCGGCGAAGGGUCAGUCGGUCCUAAGGGGAUGGCGAACGCCGAACCCGAUGGAUGCACGGUCAACAUUCCGUGACUCGCGCAGCAUGCGAUGGAGGGACGGAGGGUAUUAUGCAGAGCCUAUUACUGGAUUUGGGUCCGUGACGAGAGCGCGCGCCUCUGGUAAAUCCGGGGCGCGGCCUUCAGUGGCAGCUCGAUUCGUUGCGGGAAUCUGACGGGCAACUCGAGGAAACUCUGCAAAAAACGCUCCCAAGAAAAACUCCUAAGCUCUAGUGCUGCGGAACCGUACCGCAAACCGCCACAGGUGGCCAGGUCGAGAAGACUAAGACGAACGGGUGAGAUGUCCUCAAGGAACUCGGCAAAAAAGCGGCCGUACCUUCGGUAUAAGGCCUUCCAGCUCCAGAUUUGGGCUAGAAUGAGUUCGUGCAUUGCGUGUAUCUAAUCUAGAACGAUUUCUCGAAAGAGGUUUACAUUGGAUACACGAACGACAUAAAGCGGAGAGUGAGAGAUCACAACUCUGCGGGUGAGAAAUUCACAACAAGAAAUCGCGGCAUCUGGCGUCUUGUGUACAUGGAGGUGUACAGAGCCGCUAGAGAUGCUCGCGCUCGCGAGCUGCGGCUAAAGAGUCACGGCAGCGGGAAGCACGAACUGAUGAAACGACUCAAGGCUAGUACGCUUUGAGGCUCAAAUCUGGAGCUGGACGCAGCUAAAGAUUCCCUAUCGACUGUUUACCAAAAACACAGCUCCCUGCGAACUCGUAAGAGAAUGUAUAGGGGGUGACACCUGACCAAUGCCAGAAGGUCAAACGUUGGCGUUCCCGUCCUGCUCCGUCCGCCCGAUUUCAAUCGGGCGCGCGNNNNNNNNNNNNNNNNNNNNNNNNNNNNNGGUGACCGUCGUAAGCCCUGGUGAAUGUCGGUCGUAACUAUGAAUCGUCGUAGUUACGUUAAAAAAUCUCGCUGUAUGCGGGAAACCCUGGCCCAGCUCCAGUUGGGCACAUAGUUUGCUUGUCGUCGCUGCGGAACUUUCGUAAGAAGGUUUCUGUGGUGGUGAGAGAAACUGACGUGCCAACUGGGGCUGGGAAAAGAGAGCGAUCAGCUACGAGUGCACUAUGUUGCGUCGUAACAACGCUGACGCGCAGGCAAUCCGCAGGAAACUCUCUGGCGCCUAACUCAAAAAGAGCGUGGUGCAUCAACAGCAAAACCUAGUUCGUUCGGUACCCGAACGAAUUGGGCACUACAUCGCCGGCUUCGUGGACGGCGAGGGAAGCUUCAAUGUUUCUCUCGCCAAAAUCACGUGGUCGCGCGGUUGGAAAAUACUCGCGUCAUUCAAUGUGUCGCAACGCGAUCGUGUUGUCUUGGCAAAAAUCAAGGACACGCUCCGAUGCGGCACGCUGCGGACGCGAGCUGACGGCGUCGUUUACUACGAGGUAACGAACUUUCGUUCCCUUGCAGAGACGGUGGUCCCGUUCUUCCAGCGGUUUGGUUUCCUCUCCGCAACAAAAAAGAGGAACUUCGCAAUCUGGUCCCAAAUUGUGUUCAUUCUCUACCGAGGUGAGCACCUGACACGGGAAGGAUUUGCGAAAGUAGUAGCGCUCCGUGAGCAACUCAAUGUUGGCCGCGGGCGUAAGCGGAAGUACGACAUUAACAGUGUCUUCCGCCAGAGAGGAUCCUCAGAGACUACACGCGAGACGCGACCUGCCCCCGAAGCGUAAGCUUCGGAGUAACCGACCGGGCACGGCGCGAUGAUAUAGUCCGAACUCCGCGGCGACGUGGAGCUAACAUGAUUGAACGAUCCUAAGGUAGCGAAAUUCCUUGUCUGGUAAUUGAAUUGCCAAAUCCGACAGCGAUGUCGGAAGAAAACCGGCUCAUAACGGUGAAGUCUAAACUGGAGCACUACUUCAAGGAUAGUGCGAUGAAGGUAGAUAAUACCGUGGGAAGUCGAUUCGCGAGAUUAGGUAGUGAUACUUCAUCUCGUGGGUUUGACCCCGUAACGACUUGUGCACCACUAGCCAGUGGCGCACAGAUAGCUAAGGUAGUACAGUAAAAUGUAUGAACAGCUAUAACACGCCGGCUCUGCAAAUAGGGCUCUCGAAUUAUAUUUCUGGAUAUGUUGAUGGAGAGGGAUGCUUUUCAGUUUCGUUUUCGAAACGAGAAAAGCUCCUAAUCGGAUGGGAAGUAAAACCAAGCUUUUGUGUAGGUCAAAAUUUUGAUCGACGUGAAGUCUUGGAUCUGAUGCACAAGUAUUUCGGUUGUGGGCACAUACGCCGCGACUGGGGUGAUAAAACACUCAAAUACGAAGUGCGUAAGUUGGAUGAUCUACUAGAAAAAGUGAUUCCACACUUCCAGAGAUUUCCUCUAAAGUCAGCAAAACAAAAAGAUUUUCUGCGUUUUGCAGAAAUUUGCCAGAAGAUGAAAAAUUUGGAGCAUCAAAAGACGCACAGCUUGAUAAAUAUUAUCAAGAGUGCGUACAAGAUGAAUGGAUCAGGAAAGCGCAAGCUUUCUUUAUCCGAAAUCAUCAAAACUAUUUGCAGAUGAAAGUAUAGUCUAUGCCCGCAGAAAUGCGGGGUAACACAUGAAGUUCAGACGCGCACGAAUGGUGUAACGAAUGGGGAACUGUCUCGAGGACUCGCCCGGUGAAAAUACAGUAGCGGUGAAGAUGCCGCUUACCUGCAGCUAGACGAAAAGACCCCAGAAGCUUUACUGUAGUUUGGCAUUGCCUGUACGGUCCUGCUGCGCAGCGUAGGUGGUAGAGGUUGAAGCAUUCCUUCCGGGGAGUGUGGACUCGCCAAUGAAACACCACCCUGCAGAGCCGUACCGGCUAACCGCGCGAGCGACACUCGCGCGAGACAGUGUCUGACGGACAGUUUUGGUGGGGCGCUAUCCUCCUAAAAAGUAACGGAGGAGCCUACCAAGGUUCUCUAGGCGCGAAUGGAAACCGUGCCGGUCGUGCAAUGGCAUAAGAGAGCUUGACUGCGAGACGUACAUGUCGAGCAGACGCGAAAGCGGAGCAUAGUGAUCCGACCUUGCGCAUUAGAUGCGGGGGGAGCUCAACGGAUAAAAGUUACUCUGGGGAUAACAGGCUGGUACUGCCUAAGCGUCCAUAGCGACGGCAGUGUUCGGCACCUCGAUGUCGGCUCAACUUAUCCUGGGGCUGAAGAAGGUCCCAAGGGUUUGGCUGUUCGCCAAUUAAAAAGUUACGUGAGCUGGGUUCAGACCGUGGAGAACCACAUUCGAAAGAAUGGGGAAUUCCACCGUCUGAAUCCCUAGGACUCGAGGAACUGUUGGGGAACUUGCGAGAGCAAGUUCUAUGUAGAGACUGACUCACACACGGCGGCGAGGUAUGGAAACAUAUUUCGACCAGCUGGCUAAUUUCGGUGAAAUCCAGCUCCAGUUGGAGCACAAGUUUAUUUGUCACUACCGCGGAAUCUUCGCGAGAAGGUUCCUGUAGCGGCAGGCGAAACUGACGUGCCAACUGGGGCUGGAUGAAGAUACAGUCCAAUGCACGUAGCAAUACGUGGAAACAUGCGUGAGACAGGUUGGUCUCCUAUCUACUGCAGGCGUUGAUUCUUGAGGGGAGCUGCUUCUAGUACGAGAGGACCGAAGUGGACUGACCUCUGGUCUACCGGCUGUCACGCCAGUGGCAUCGCCGGGUAGCUACGUCGGGCACGGAUAACCGCUGAAAGCAUCUAAGCGGGAAGCCAGCCCCAAGAUUAGGAAUCGUUACAAAGGGCCCUGGGAGAUGACCAGGUUGAUAGGCGCCAGGUGUACGCACAGCAAUGUGUUCAGCCGAAGCGUACUAAUUGCCCGAUUUCCGUCAG